UUUGCUGUGGAGUUUGGUUUAAUUAUAGGAAGACUUUCUGUAAGGUCAGUGCUGUGGUAUAGAACUUAUGUUCAGGCAUUCACUUUAACUACAGUUUUGGUUUUGAUGCUGGGCCUGAGUGUUCUUCAUAUGUUUUGUGGGUGCUCUCGUGUGCUCUACUAGUGUUAGAUCACUGACUGCUUAGAGACACUGAGUCUGGGAUCUAGUGUUAUCUCUGGGACAGCUCCACGCUCACAUUUUUGCUGUGUUUUUGUUCCCCCAGUGGGUGAGACCUCCUCUAUCUGGUCAUAAAAUGGGCUGGAGGUGGGACUAGCAUGUUGUACAGGUUUCAUGUGUGUAGUAAGACUCAACUAGAUGUCAUAUUCCAGGUGCUCCUCCCUCCUGCACUGAGACUGUGUCCCCAGUGCAGACGCGUGGUGGAUCUGAGUCACUGGCAGAGCCUCAUGUGAUGGGGCCGUGAUGUUGGACAGAAGCCACAGCACUGUACAGUUCCUGCAUGAGUGUGGGACAGACCACCUGCCUCUCAGGAUUUGGUUCCUCAGCUUAUGGUGGAGAGCAGAUCCUUGGAGUACUCAACUAAAGGGGAAAAAGCCCCAACAACAAAACAACAAGAGAAAGGAAUAACCAGUAGCAACUGGGCACCAAGGAAAUGGCCACCAGCUCAUUGGAUGGGGGCUGGUAGAUGAAUGUUUUAGGGUCAUGUCAUUACUGGGACUUACAGAUAUUUGAAUUUCUGGAAGAGGCUGAUUGAUGGCGCAAAGGAGUAUUCUUUGGAGGAGUCACUUUGAGACUUUUUUCACAAAGAAUGAAAAACUCAGUGUAAAGUACAACAAAAGGA